AUUGAACGCUGGCGGCAUGCUUUACACAUGCAAGUCGAACGGCAGCGCGGGCUUCGGCCUGGCGGCGAGUGGCGAACGGGUGAGUAAUGCAUCGGAACGUGCCCAGUAGUGGGGGAUAGCCCGGCGAAAGCCGGAUUAAUACCGCAUACGACCUGAGGGUGAAAGCGGGGGACCGAAAGGCCUCGCGCUAUUGGAGCGGCCGAUGUCGGAUUAGCUAGUUGGUGGGGUAAAGGCUUACCAAGGCGACGAUCCGUAGCUGGUCUGAGAGGACGACCAGCCACAGUGGGAGGGAAAAACGGCCACGACCCCUGGGGGGGGAGGCAGGGGGGAAUUUGGGAAAAUGGGGGCAACCCUGACCCAGCAAUGCGGCGGGCGGGAGGAGGGCCUUGGGGUUGUAAACCGUUUUUGUUGGGGAAAAAACCCUCGGGCCUAAACCCCGGGGGGGAUGACGGUACCGAAAAAAAAAGCACCGGCUAACUACGUG
rnacentral:rRNA from 1 species